rnacentral:rRNA from 1 species
GUAAGGGAGCGUUCCGCCCAGGGAGAAGCCAAGCGCGUAAGCCGCGGUGGACAGGGCGGAAGUGAGAAUGUCAGAUUGAGUAACGAAAACACUAGUGAGAAUCUAGUGCCCCGAAAACGUAAGGGUUCCUCUGCAAGGCUCGUCCUCAGAGGGUCAGUCAGGACCUAAGGUGAGGCCGAAAGGCGUAAUCGAUGGAAAGAAGGCUUAUAUUCCUUCACUAUUACUUUAUUAGUCCUGAGGGACGAACAAAUACAUUGGAAGAAAUCUUCCAGACUUGGCAGUUUGGACUCAUGGAUUUCUUUACAAGGUAUUUUUUCCAAGAAAAGCUCAUUCGACUUUGAUAAAGUAAUACCUGUACCGUAAACCGACACAGGUACGUGGGUUGAAUAAACUAAGGGGAGCGAGAUAACUCUCUCUAAGGAACUCGGCAAAUUGGCUCUGUACCUUCGGAAGAAAGAGUGCCCUGCAUAAGGGCCGCAGUGAAGAGAUCCAGGCGACUGUUUACCAAAAACACAGGUCUCCGCAAAGUCGUAAGACGAUGUAUGGGGGCUGACACCUGCCCAGUGCCAGAAGGUUAAAGAAGUUGGUUAGUCUUAGACAAAGCUGACGACUGAAGCCCUGGUGAACGGCGGCAGUAACAAUAACUGUCCUAAGGUAGCGAAAUUCCUUG